GACGAACGUUGGCGGCGUGCUUAAUACAUGCAAGUCCACUGAAGCAGUGGUAGCAAUAUCGCUGUGGAGGUGGCGCACGGGCGAGUAACACGUAGGUAAUCUGCCUUCAGGUCUGGCAUAACUCCGGGAAACCGGGGCUAAUAGCAGAUGAUGCAGCGGCUCGACAUCGAGACAGUUGUUAAAGCUAUGGCGCCUGAAGAUGAGCCUGCGUCUGAUUAGCUAGUUGGCGGGGUAACGGCCCACCAAGGCAACGAUCAGUAGCUGGUCUGAGAGGAUGAUCAGCCACACUGGAACUGAGACACGGUCCAGACUCCUACGGGAGGCAGCAGUAAGGAAUAUUGCUCAAUGGGAGAAAUCCUGAAGCAGCAACGCCGCGUGAGGGACGAAGGGCUUUGGCUUGUAAACCUCUGUAGUGAGAGAAAAAAAUCCCAAUCUUUGGGACAUGAUGGUAUCUCAAAAGUAAGCCCCGGCUAACUACGUG
rnacentral:rRNA from 1 species